rnacentral:rRNA from 1 species
AGUGAACGCUGGCGGUAGGCCUAACACAUGCAAGUCGAACGGCAGCACAGAGGAGCUUGCUCCUUGGGUGGCGAGUGGCGGACGGGUGAGGAAUACAUCGGAAUCUACUCUGUCGUGGGGGAUAACGUAGGGAAACUUACGCUAAUACCGCAUACGACCUACGGGUGAAAGCAGGGGAUCUUCGGACCUUGCGCGAUUGAAUGAGCCGAUGUCGGAUUAGCUAGUUGGCGGGGUAAAGGCCCACCAAGGCGACGAUCCGUGGCUGGUCUGAGAGGAUGAUCAGCCACACUGGAACUGAGACACGGUCCAGACUCCUACGGGAGGCAGCAGUGGGGAAUAUUGGACAAUGGGCGCAAGCCUGAUCCAGCCAUACCGCGUGGGUGAAGAAGGCCUUCGGGUUGUAAAGCCCUUUUGUUGGGAAAGAAAUCCAUCUGGUUAAUACCCGGGUGGGAUGACGGUACCCAAAGAAUAAGCACCGGCUAACUUCGUGCCAGCAGCCGCGGUAA